rnacentral:rRNA from 1 species
AGAAUCAACGCUGGCGGCGUGCCUAACACAUGCAAGUCGAACGCGAAAGUUCCGCAAGGAAUUAGUAGAGUGGCAAACGGGUGAGUAACACGUGGGUGACCUGCCUUCGAGUGGGGGAUAACGUCCCGAAAGGGACGCUAAUACCGCAUAAUAUCCUGCCUUUUAAGAGGUGGAAAUCAAAGCCGGGGAUCGCAAGACCUGGCGCUUGAAGAGGGGCCCGCGUCCGAUUAGCUAGUUGGUGGGGUAACGGCUCACCAAGGCAACGAUCGGUAGCCGGCCUAAGAGGGCGGACGGCCACACUGGGACUGAGACACGGCCCAGACUCCUACGGGAGGCAGCAGUGGGAAUUGUCGCAAUGGGCGAAAGCCUGACGACGCAACGCCGCGUGGAGGACUGAAGACCUUCGGGUCGUAAACGUCCUUUCGAUCGAGACGAAUGACCCCUGGUCAAGUAACCGUGGGAGUGACGGUACCGAGGAGAAAGAAGCCCCGGAGUAACCGUCCGU